GAUAAAAGAGAAGCGGGUCUCACUCUGGGAAAAUUUAACAUUUGAAACAACAUUAACAUAGCGAAUAUAACUGUUUGAACUAGUAUUUUCUUCCAUGUAAAGAGUGAAUUGUAACGUUUAAAUGUUUACUUUUUUCCGUG